CAGAUGAUCACCUGCAUUCAGUGUAGAUUAUGACUGACCAGAAGCUCUGUCGAUACCACGGAUAUUCAAAAUUCAUCAUCAAAAUAUACAACUAUUCUUUUCUUACUUUUUGACAAAUCAAGCCCAAGCAGGGAAUACAGCAAUCCUUACAAAUUAAUGGAUACAGAUGACAACCUGGAUACAGUGAAGACUAUGACUGACCAGAAGCUCUGUCGAUACCACGGAUAUUCAAAAUUCAUCAUCAAAAUAUACAACUAUUCUUUUCUUACUUUUUAACAAAUCAAGCUCAAGCAAGAAAUACAGCAAUUAUUGGAAAUUACUGGAUACAGAUGAUCACCUGCAUACAGUGUAGACUAUGACUGACCAGAAGCUCUGCGAUAAUUCUAAUAUUUUCUCCGGGUUCGCGAAAUUAGGAGAUGAAAUUAUUCUUGGUCAUCUCCUCGUCAGUCACUAUUAUUUCAGGUUCAAGCCCAAUGAUGUAAGAUGUCGCUCACCAUUGCUAUAGAAUAUCAUGCUGUCGAUACCACGGAUAUACAGAAUGCAUCAUCAGAAUACACAACUAUUCUUUUGUUACUUUUUGACAAAUCAAGCCCAAGCAGGGAAUACAGCAAUCCUUACAAAUUAAUGGAUACAGAUGACAACCUGGAUACAGUGAAGACUAUGACUGACCAGAAGCUCUGUCGAUACCACGGAUAUUCAAAAUUCAUCAUCAAAAUAUACAACUAUUCUUUUCUUACUUUUUAACAAAUCAAGCUCAAGCAAGAAAUACAGCAAUUAUUGGAAAUUACUGGAUACAGAUGAUCACCUGCAUACAGUGUAGACUAUGACUGACCAGAAGCUCUGCGAUAAUUCUAAUAUUUUCUCCGGGUUCGCGAAAUUAGGAGAUGAAAUUAUUCUUGGUCAUCUCCUCGUCAGUCACUAUUAUUUCAGGUUCAAGCCCAAUGAUGUAAGAUGUCGCUCACCAUUGCUAUAGAAUAUCAUGCUGUCGAUACCACGGAUAUACAGAAUGCAUCAUCAGAAUACACAACUAUUCUUUUGUUACUUUUUGACAAAUCAAGCCCAAGCAGGGAAUACAGCAAUCCUUACAAAUUAAUGGAUACAGAUGACAACCUGGAUACAGUGAAGACUAUGACUGACCAGAAGCUCUGUCGAUACCACGGAUAUUCAAAAUUCAUCAUCAAAAUAUACAACUAU